rnacentral:rRNA from 1 species
CCUACGGGAGGCAGCAGUGAUGAAUAUUUGUCAAUGGACGAGAUUCUUAACCAUCCAAUUAUCUUUAAUGAUGACUGCCCUAUGGGUUGUAAACUUCUUUUAUAUGGGAAUAAAAUGUUCCACGUGUGGGAUUUUGUAUGUACCAUAUGAAUAAGGAUCGGCUAACUCCGUGCCAGUAGCCGCGGUAAUACGGAGGAUCCGAGCGUUAUCCGGAUUUAUUGGGUUUAAAGGGAGAGUAGGUGGAUUGUUAAGUCAGUUGUGAAAGUUUGCGGCUCAACCGUAAAAUUGCAGUUGAAACUGGCAGUCUUGAGUACAGUAGAGGUGGGCGGAAUUCGUGGUGUAGCGGUGAAAGGCUUAGAUAUCACGAAGAACUCCGAUUGCGAAGGCAGCUCACUGGACUGCAACUGACACUGAGGCUCGAAAGUGUGGGUAUCAAACAGGAUUAGAUACCCGAGUAGUC